UACGAAGGGGACUAGCGUUGUUCGGAAUCACUGGGCGGAAAGCGCACGUAGGCGGAUUUGUAAGUCAGGGGUGAAAUCCCGGGGCUCAACCUCGGAACUGCCUUUGAUACUGCGAAUCUUGAGUCCGAUAGAGGUGGGUGGAAUUCCUAGUGUAGAGGUGAAAUUCGUAGAUAUUAGGAAGAACACCAGUGGCGAAGGCGGCCCACUGGAUCGGUACUGACGCUGAGGUGCGAAAGCGUGGGGAGCAAACAGG
rnacentral:rRNA from 1 species